UCCUCUGAAGAACGUAUCGUCAUUAAAUUUGAUGACAUUGCACCAAUUGGAGAAGCACAAGGCCUUCUUGCAGGUUUUUGUGGGAUUUUAGCAACUGGCAACACUAUUUUUCCAAUUGGCUUUGCCAAAUGGAAUAAUUUACCUGAGUCAUACUUUAACCUCUACUUUGGUCAAAUUAUAAAGGUAUAAACUCUAUAUAUUUAUAAAUAUAUCGAUAUAUUUUGUAUACAUACUUAUAUUGACAUGGCUAAAGAUAAUCUAACUAAUAUUUCAUUUUCAAAGCCUUGGUUUUCUUUUGAAACAACCUAGUCAAUUGCACGACACUAUGUCUAUAAUUCUAUUUCAAAGACGUGGGGUGCAAGGAGGCUAAAGUUGUAGGAUAAGAACUUUAACCCGCUUCAGAGCCGAUCUAAACUUAUGGCUAAUGUACCAAAUGGAAUUUCACUGGAUCAAUGGACUUCUUAUGUUGAUUAUCGUUUGGACAAGAAAACCCAGAAAAUGUGCAAGCAAAAUGCUGAAAAUCGGAAGAAACAAACUAUUCCACACAUUGGUGCUCUAAAUCUAAUGCGAGAAGAAGAGCUGAAAUGAUGGUUGAGACUGGACAUAAGCUUGGACUAGCAGAACUUUAUCUUCAUACUCAUAAAAAAGAAAAUGGAUCAUAUGUUAAUGAAGUGGCAAAGAGAUUUGUGUAAGUACCUCUGUUGAGCAAUUUUUAUCGUUUCUCCUGAUUUUUCCUAUUUUAGUUACAAACUUAUGGUGUAUGGCAAAGUGAAUUGUUCGUAGUUCAACCGCUAGUGAAUUUUAAAACUGUGAUUAAAUAUGGGUGGAUUGUGAUCAUUUCUUGCUAUCUUAUGCAAUUUGGUUUUACUAAAGAGACCCCUUCGUCUUA